rnacentral:lncRNA from 1 species
UGCUCAAUCCUGUUUUCUUCCUCUCUAUCCCCCAGGUGGUAACCCGAGGGCGUUUCUUCCUAAACUUUCUGGACGGUAAACCUACACAGCUUUUACAGAAGCCAGACUUUGACAGGACCUUCAAGAGGAUAUCACCCUUAGAAACCAGAGAUUUCUAAGACCAAUGUUUUCUCCUAAGUCUAACCUACCAUGGUAAUACUUACACAUGAUUCUCCCCCUGC